GCGGGUAUAACUGAAAUGGUAGCGUGCUUAGCAUGCAUGAGGGCCUGGGUUCAAUUCCCAGUACCUCCA
rnacentral:tRNA from 1 species